GAUCAAAAUAAAACCGGCGAUUCAUAAUGAUUCAGUAUCUAUAUAUGCAUCUUAAGAAAAUAUAAGACAAAAAAGGGAAUACUAACUUCAAGACGAUUUGCGUACACAAAACACAAGUUACUAUGAGAAUAAACUUUAAUAAGGUAAGCUUCUUAUAAGCUCGGGGAUUUAUGUACACUUGACCAGAUAAGCUCGCUAUAAAGUUUGGAAAGCCAACACUAUAU
rnacentral:lncRNA from 1 species